UGGCUUCAGGUUCGGGACAACCAUUGGAAACGGUGGCUAAUACCGAAUGUGCCGAAAGGUGAAAGAUUAAUUGCCUGAAGAUGAGCUCGCGUCUGAUUAGCUAGUAGGUGUGGUAAAAGCGCACCUAGGCGACGAUCAGUAGCUGGUCUGAGAGGAUGAUCAGCCACACUGGGACUGAGACACGGCCCAGACUCCUACGGGAGGCAGCAGUGGGGAAUUUUCCGCAAUGGGCGAAAGCCUGACGGAGCAAUACCGCGUGAGGGAGGAAGGCUCUUGGGUCGUAAACCUCUUUUCUCAGGGAAUAAAAAAAUGAAGGUACCUGAGGAAUCAGCAUCGGCUAACUCCGUGCCAGCAGCCGCGGUAAUACGGAGGAUGCAAGCGUUAUCCGGAAUGAUUGGGCGUAAAGCGUCCGCAGGUGGCUGUGUAAGUCUGCUGUUAAAGAGUGAGGCUCAACCUCAUAAAAGCAGUGGAAACUACACGGCUAGAGUGCGUUCGGGGCAGAGGGAAUUCCUGGUGUAGCGGUGAAAUGCGUAGAGAUCAGGAAGAACACCGGUGGCGAAAGCGCUCUGCUAGGCCGCAACUGACACUGAGGGACGAAAG
rnacentral:rRNA from 1 species